UGGAAAGAAAGGACGCAUGGGACCAUUAGAGUCAUGCUCAUAUGAAAACAAGGAGAAAAGAAAAUUUGAUGUUCUCCCUCCAAAUUUCAAACAUUUGAAAGAGUUCCUGCUCCGCCGCGCCGGAGCUCAUCAUCGGCGGCGGCGGAGCUCAAACCAUGAGACUAGGCACACCAAACCCUUCCUCUCAAGCUUACGAACAUGAAGAACAGCCUCACUAAACCUAAUUUCUAAGCAGUCAGACGAAUCGAAGAAGAUGACGCAAGAACCCUAGAAAUGAAAACAAAAAUUAAAUGCUGAAGAAAGUGAAUCAAAGCCUCAAAUUAUAGGGCUUUGAUUCCAUGCGAGCUACUUUACACGGUGGCACCUCACACACAAUAAACUGAAGAGUUUUAGCAACCGAAAAAGCGACAGGUAAGUGUUAGUUCUCUUCUUUCUCUCUCGUGUCUUGCUUAUGCUUCUACUCUGAGGGUGUGUGAGAAAGAUGCAGAGUUUUUUUUUAGUACGUUCAAACCCGAGAUUAUUCAACCCUCAUUUUUCCUUCUGAUUCCUUCCUUUUAUAAUGAAGCAAUUAGGGUUUAUGGAGCAAGAAAUCAAUGCAAAUGGAAUAGGUUUUGAUGCAUUGCAGGUUGCAUUGAUUUGGCAAGGCAUUGGCAAUGUGGUGAUGGUUGCAGCAUGUUUUUUCCCUGCAGGGAUAACUGUGUAUGCAAUAAUAUGUUUGGCUUGGCCUUGCUGGAUUGUUAUGAGGUUGUAGGAUUAUGCAUGGUUGAAGUGUUGCAGUUUGGAUUAGCAGGUUUUAUGGUCAUGUGGUGCAUUGCAGGCUAGGUCUGAAUUUGUUAGGUUUUGUCAUGGAAUUGCAGGACUGGUGCAUGGUUUGUUCAUGUGAUACCAUGGCCUGUUGUAGCUUGGAUUGAUGGAGGUUUGGACUGUGCAGGUGUGCAUUAUUGUCUUGAUUAUUUGAUGUGAUGGACUGGUGAAGGAAUGUUGCAGGGUGGUUUUAAAACAUUGUGUUGUAGGUUUUGCCUUGGUAUGGUUGGUAAUGUUGUUGACUGAUGUUGAUGUUCAUGGUAGUUUUUGCAGUAUGGCAUAACAAGGUUGUAUGUGUUUGUUGCAAUAAAAAUGGUUUCUCAUGAAUUGCUUGUAGCUUGCUGCAGGUUGGUGUUUUCAUUUCAGGAUCCUUGUUUUGCAGGUCUGCUAGAUGACUUUGCAAGGUUUGUUUGUUGUUGUUGUCUUGAUUUCUAGUUGACUUGAAUGGUAUGCAUGAUGAUUGUCAGUGGGUUAUGUUUAUAAUUCUUAUGGUUGCAGCUGACUUUGCAAGGUUUAUGUUGUGUUUGACAUGGCUGCAGCUGAGUUUUAGUGAGUUCCUCGAGUGCCAAGUAAUGGCCCUGCUGCAUUGUUGUCUUCAAUUUUGUUAUAUGUUAUUGUAGGAUGUUGCUGCAGAAUUAUUCAUGGCUUUGGUUCAGGUUAAUGGUAUGUUAUGGUAAGCCCUUGGUCAUAUGGUUGGUUGCUAGCAUUGUUUGACAUGAUGAACAUGGUUGAAAUCAAGGCAUGACUUGCAAAUGAAGAAAUUAUGUAAAGAUUACCAAAUUUAAGAACAUGGAAUCAACGGUGGAUCAUAGAUGAAUUAUGGAAGAAUGGAUUAGGGUUUAGGAUGCUCAAAGUUGGUUAGUUGACUUUGGUCAACUGGUUGACCAAAAAUUCAAUAGUUGACCAAAAGUCAACUUAGGUAGAAAAGUCAAUUUUUUUUGUGUAAUCUCUUUUGUAUGGACAUUUGUAAUGAAAUAAACAUUUGGUGAAUGAAAAUGAUAUUUGGUA